rnacentral:rRNA from 1 species
GCAAGAUACCACGGGCGCACGGCGGAUGCCUUGGCACAGGGAGCCGAUGAAGGACGCGGCAAGCUGCGAUAAUCCCCGGCGAGGAGCACACAUCCUUCGACCCGGGGGUCUCCGAAUGGGCGAACCCAUCCACAGCAGUGUGGAUAUCCCCACCCCGAACACAUAGGGGUGGGGAGGACAACCCGGGGAACUGAAACAUCUAAGUACCCGGAGGAGAGGAAAUCAAUCUCGAGACUCCCCGAGUAGCGGCGAGCGAAAGGGGACCGAUGGCCAAACCGUCGAGCGGGCAUACCCGGCAGGGGUUCCGCCGACGGGGUUGCAGGGCCGCGCAUCCGGGGGCUGCCGCCCCCGGGCGCAGGUCCGGCUGGGGAGCGGAACGGCAUGGGAGGGCCGGCCGCAGCGGGUGACAGCCCCGUACGCGAACCCAGACCGGACGGCGCGACGCGGUCCCUGAGUAGGGCCGGGCACGUGAAACCCGGUCCGAACCUGGGUGGACCACCAUCCAAGCCUGAGUACUACCCUGUGACCGAUAGCGCACCAGUACCGUGAGGGAAAGGUGAAAAGCACCCCGGGAGGGGAGUGAAACAGUACCUGAAACCGUGCGCCCACGAGCAGUCGGAGCACCCUUGUGGUGUGACGGCGUGCCUUUUGUAGAAUGAGCCAGCGAGUCGCUGGCGCGGGGCGAGGUUAACCGAAAGGGAGCCGGAGCGAAAGCGAGCCUUAACAGGGCGACUUGAGUCCCGCGCCGCGGACGCGAAGCCGGGUGAGCUAUCCGUGGGCAGGCUGAAGCGGGGGUAAGACCCCGUGGAGGGCCGAACGCACGUCGGUUGAAAACGGCGGCGAUGACCUGCGGAUAGGGGUGAAAGGCCAAUCAAACCCGGAGAUAUCUCGUUCUCCCCGAAAUAGCUUUAGGGCUAGCGUCGCGCGUUCACCGCCGGAGGUAGAGCACCGGAUGGACGAGGGGGCUUCGCCGCCUACCGAAUCCAACCGAACUCCGAAUGCCGGCGGCCCAGAGCGCGGCAGUCAGAGCAUGUGGGCUAAGCUGUGUGCUCGAGAGGGAAACAGCCCGGACCGCCCGCUAAGGUCCCCAAGUUCCAGCCGAGUGGCAAAGGAUGUGCGUCCGCCCAGACAACCAGGAUGUUGGCUUAGAAGCAGCCAUGCAUUCAAAGAGUGCGUAACAGCUCACUGGUCGAGUGGACAUGCGCCGACAAUACACGGGGCUAAGCUGGACACCGAAGCGGCGGGAUUUUGAUUUUCAGAAUCGGUAGGGGAGCUUCCCAUGGGCGGGGAAGCCGCCGGGCGACCGGCGGUGGAGCGCAUGGGAGUGAGAAUGCUGGCAUGAGUAGCGAGAGACGAGAGAGUAACUCGUCCGCCGUGAACCCGAGGUUUCCUGGGCAAGGCUAAUCCUCCCAGGGUCAGUCGGGGGCUAAGGCGAGGCCGGAAGGCGUAGCCGACGCGCAGCAGGCAGACAUUCCUGCACCGCGCACGCGGCGCUACGACCGACGGGGCGACGGAUGGGGGUGGCUCGGCGGGGUUCUGGACGUCCCCGUGAUGGAGCGCGGCCCGCGGACCAGGGAAAUCCGGUCCGCACGAGGGCGAGGCUCCGGACGAAGCGAUUGAGCGAAGCGAGUGAGCCCGAGGUCCCUAGAAAAACCCCUAGGCAGGCGCGUGCGCGCCCGUACCGCAAACCGACACAGGUGGGUGGGUAGAACAUACCGAGGCGAUCGGGUCAACCAUGGUCAAGGAACUCGGCACAAUGGCCCCGUAACUUCGGGAGAAGGGGUGCCCGCGCGUACGUGAACGGACUUGCUCCGGGAGCGGAGGCGGGCCGCAGUGGAGAGGCCCAAGCGACUGUUUACCAAAAACACAGGACUCUGCAGAAGCCGCAAGGCGACGUAUAGGGUCUGACGCCUGCCCGGUGCCGGAAGGUCACGCGGAGGAGUUAGCGCAUCGCGCGAAGCCCCGAAGCCAAGCCCCGGUAAACGGCGGCCGUAACUAUAACGGUCCUAAGGUAGCGAAAUUCCUUGUCGGGU